rnacentral:tmRNA from 1 species
GGGGGUGUAAUGGUUUCGACGGGGGUGUAGAAACAAGAUAAGCGAGCCGCAGUUUGCCAAGUCUGCGUUAAAAAUGGCACGUUAAAUAUAAACGCAAAAAAUAACAACAAUUACGCAUACGCAGCAUAGCUGUCUGCCGCAUAGAGCGGCCGCGUCGUCGGCUCGGAUUUACCUGUAGGUUCGAAUCCCGGCGUCAAUCAUACAGGAAAACUUUGUGCCUGCUCCCGGAAGCACAGAGGAAUAACGGGAUAGCGGAGUUUUGAGCCUGCCGUUCGGCGCUUAAUUCCGUGAAAUAAAAAGGAACGGCUGCGCUCGGAGAAAAUCUUGCGGAAAUGCUUUCGGACAGGAGUUCGACUCUCCUCACCUCCACCA